rnacentral:lncRNA from 1 species
GUCUGGGUUUGGGGGUGGAUCUCACGGGGCAAGGGCUGGGGCAUGGGAUGGGCUUGCACCUAGGGGACAAGGCUAGGGGAUGAGAUAGGUCUGGAUCUUGGAGGCAAAGGCUGGGGAUGAGUUUGGGGCUAGGUGUCACAUCCUGGGAUCACCUUCCACAACUAUGCGCCAUCAAAUUUGAUCUUGAUGAAAUUAUGGUUAGGAGGACACCACUGUCACCAUUCCCACAAACAACAGCAGUUGCAACCACCUCAGGCCAUUAGCAGACACAUCCGUGGCCAUCAAGAAAUCAGUAUGAGCUGUGGUAGCUUUUUCAAUCACCAAAGCUGGGUCAGGGUGUUGGAAAUCCCUCGUUAGUGGAGCGAAAAAGUGUAUCUGGUGUUGAUUGGCAGCAAUAAUUCUUCUCUAUUUGCUGUUGUGUUUGACAAUAUCAAUUAGCUUUAUGGGUGGCUUAAUUGGUAGCAUCCACCUUGUUGUUGAUUGCUUGUCGGCAAGUGUGGAAAUUUCCAUGCCUUUUUGGCAUUAUUUAAUGCAUUAAGGUGGAAUUGGCACGUGAAGGAAUAUUUGGAUGUCUAGGCCCCGUUUGGUUCAUAGAAAAGGAGAUUUUGGGAUAAGAAAUCAAUUGAUUUCCCAUAUUUGGUAAGUUCAGGCAUGAGAAAUCAUUGCCUGGCCCAUGGAAAAGUUAGG